GCGGAGGCGCGCGACGACUAGGUUGGAGGAGGCCGCCUCACCGGCAGUGCUCGAAUCCACCGCGUCAACCCGACGUCACGAAGCCGCCAACCUCAUCCUGCUUGAACGGAGCCGCCCACCUCAUCACGCUGGCCGCCCCCUUCAGUGUCGUAUAGUCGCCGUUGCUCUCCCCACCACUGCAACUGCCAUAUCUGGCGAACCCUUGCAAUACUAUUUGGUCAUCACAGAGCUCAAGUCAUAGGACCAUAGCAUGCCAUGUUGUGGUUGAUGCAGAUCUGAGAUGACACCGAGGCGACGAGAUAGCGGGCGGCAUGCCGCUGAUGAAUAAUGACGACGACAAUUUUCACAAUUUUCUGGAGUUGGAGGCUAAGCCGGUGGACAAAGGUAGUGGAAGACCCGAUUAAUGUCGGGGAUGUCGGCGGUCCUGUCUCCCUCAUCUAUUGCAUCAGAUCCUCCUCUCCUCAUUGUCAUGAUGCUUCAGAACUGUUGUUGGCCUCUUGCUGUUUGUGAAUCCUCUCACACCAAUUAUUGGAAGAGAUGGAGACAAUUCUGUAUAGUUUGACCAUGACCCGAAGAGACCAAGAAUGAUGGCGUAGCAGUCCCAGAAAUAAAAGUUUCUCCAUCAGCCCUGUUCUUUGCUUCAAUUGUGAUUCUGGAACUAAAGCUUCAUCACCAUCAUUCUGUCGUUGGUCACAUGACUGAAUGAUUCGAUGGGGCAGGGAAUUUUCAUUUGCGUUGAGCGGACAUAGAAUGUGAACGACAUAAAUUUCACUGGCUCAAAGAUACAAGGAAGAAUGCUAAUAGUCUGGUUAUAUUUUAAAUCAACUUUUUUAGUGAGUUUUUAUCAUGGUCA